UGGGUGGAAUGGGAGGUGAUAUGGGGGAUGACCUUGAUGAGAGUGACGACGAAGAGCCAGAAGUGAUAAAGCCUUCCGAUAAAGCUGCUGAGGUGGUAGAUGCGAAACCUAAGGCAGAAGGUGAAGCUGCUGCAUAGGCAAGAAGGAGAAGCUCGGGUCCAUAAGUAGACGCCGCUGCUUGGCUUGCUUUCAGCAAUGCACUAGAGUGGCAUGGUUAUAAUUCGUCCCUUUCAGUUCAUGAAAGUAAAGAAGUUUAUGGCCGAUGGGAGUUUGUUAUGAGGGAACAUUAUUAUCAUUUUCAUCCACCUAAGCUGGAAAACAUGCUUUAGAUUGUUUGACUUUUGUACUAUCGUUUUAGUUCGACUGAUAAUGGUGUUUGCUCGCAUCAAAUCUCUGUAUCUUCCUUAACCUGCAGUAUCUCUUUUCGAUAGUUCUGCUUACACUAUCUGGUUGUUUUGAAACUAGUUCAACAUUCUAGAGUAGUAAAAAAAUGUUUGAUGAAUA
rnacentral:misc_RNA from 1 species